GCAACGGCAGUCUUGGCCAGGUCAAAGAGGAUUUGGGAUGGAAAGGCAUUAAAGUUCUUAUCCUGGCGAGAGAGAGGACAUCACCUCUCACAGGCCGGGCUACUCUUUUGUCUACACCUACCAUUUCUCUCUUAAGGUGAGUGACAGGAUCGAGCUGGUCAUCCUGGAAUUUUGCAGACGGUAUGACAUAUGUUUGGCCCAGGUCUGGCCAGCUGUUUGGAGGACCGUGGCGUGCCUCCGAUACCUCUCCUCCCACGUAAAAGAGGAUUUCAUGCUUUCUCACCUCAUCCACCUUUACUCCUCGACAGGAUCUUCCGAUUGUCUCGGCGCGACCAGAAUGCUUUGGUCACAAGUAUUGAUGAUGACUCCGAUCGGAGAUGGACGGAGAGGUAUGCCAUCUUCUCGAUCGCGGAUCUAGUCAAGCCGCCAGAGACUCCUAUUCCCGAACGAUGGAACCCAAAUCCCGUGGCAUGGAGACCGGAGCCGGUAGGGGACCUGACUAGAUGGGUCCAGAAGAUAGUGGAUUCCUCUUCUCUUGCUCUUCGAAUGUGGAAGGAAAUUUCCACCAAAAAUAACCGGAAGGGAAAAAUUCAGGGUUUGCCCAAGGGGUCCGCAGUUCGUCCCGUGGCGGAUGUGUUUGAAGAUCUUGCGAUGGAUAUACAACAUUUCUUGCAGGCCACAUCUGUGCUUGGCUGGGGUCAAGAAAGGGUAUCCCAGGUCCGAACUAAGAGGACGUCAGCCUGUCCGACCCCUCCGGCAAAGAGAACCAGGCAGAGUGCCUCGGGUCGAGUCAAUCGGAGUUUGACCUUGGUGACGUCGAUAACUCCUUAAGAGGCGAUUAACUUAGAGGCUGAUGUGAGCGAGGAUGAGGCCGACUCGGCCCAGGAGCUAAUCCGUAGGGGAAAGCCCCCUAAGAAAUUUCCAAUGAUGCCCUUUACAAAGAAAUGGAGCUUGCUUUGAUACUCGACUCUCCCUGUCGUCCCUUGUUUAUUCCGUCCAGUGUUGGGGCCAGCACUCCGGGCCUGGCGCCUGGCUAUUCUGUUCCUUCUUCUUCUCGGGCGACUCCUAUGCUGGCUCCGCAAAGACGAACCGUCCCCGUUAGGGCCCGAACAUUGUCAGGAGUUCAGAUAAUCCCUGGGAGGCUCGCAAAAGAGGCAUGGUUAAUACUUUUUCGGCUCCCAUUCGCAAACCAUCAUCUAUCAGGCAGGCCACUUUAUUCGUUCCUCAGGAGUGCAAUCUUCUAUCUUUGCCGGUGGGAGUUGCCAAUUACUUGAGGCCAUUGGCCUCAGAUAGAGACUGGGAAAAGAUGAGUGUCGUAUCUGCAGAUUGUCUCUUCAAGGCCAGAGCUCAUGCAGCUGCGUAGGCCCAACUCUUAACGACAGAGGGUAUCAAACGCAAAUUCACCGAGGAGAGGGAAAAAUGGGAAGAAUACCAUAAGUUGGAAGAACGCCUCCCUGCUUUAGAGGUAAACCUGGUGUCCCUAGAGAAGUUGCAGGAGAAGCUGGCCAUAUCGGAGCAGGAUAGGAAGAUUCACAGCGAGGAGGCUGCUAAAUUCCAUUCUGAUCUCGCAAAGCUGCGAAAAAAGUGGGAGGCUCAUCAAGAACAUUAUGCUACUAUUCUACAGAGGGAGACUGGCCUAACUGAAAGGGUCCGGGUUUUGGAGGCUGAGUUGGAGGCGUACAAAAAAGAGAAGUCGGCUAUGGACGAAGCCCAAACUUUCUUUGAGGAGAGGCUUCAGGCCCAGAUGGCCCGGAACAAGGAGUAAGUUGAGGCCAAUCAGCGCCUUUUUUAUACCAAUGCCUCUCUCCGGAGCAAGGUCGAGGAAAGCUGGCUGAGCUACUCCAGUAUUGAUGCCCGUAUGCAAGCUCUGAAGAAACAAUUUGCUCUGGAAAAAGCCCACGCGAUGUACUGGGCCAGCAGGAUUGCUCUUGAAGAGGCUCUGGAUGGGAUUGUUGAUAUCAAUGCCUAGAUUGCUGCAGCAUUGACCGUGAAGGAAAGGACAACCAAGACUUUGCCUGUCCAGCAGCCGGUUGAUAAUCCUGUCUCGUCCUCCGAAGGCGAGGGAUGGUCUUCGGAGGAGGGAUGAAGAGGAGGUCCCUGAGGGAGGGCGAGGAGCAAGUCCCUGCAGAUAGUGAGGGAACUGGACCUGAGAAAUCCAUUAUCGAAGAAAUCCCUUGUGGGACUUUUCCCAUCCCUCCAGAAUCUGAAGUUCCUGCCUCUCCCGUGGUUGAUGGAUCCGGGCCUCCAAUCAAUACUGCUGACUCCUGACUUUGUUGUGUUUUUAGUGCCAUGCUUUUCUAGUUGGGAUCUUUUUUUGAUGGCUUUCUGAACAUCCUAAUAAUGGUUUUUCUCCCUUUUUAGGUGGUGCCCUCGUUUUUGGGCCAUGUAAAGUAACUAUGCUAUUUGCACGUACCUGUUUACUCUUCCUUUUGCAUGUUUUUCCAUUUUCUAGAAUGAUAGUGCGUUGUUUAUAAAGCUUUUUGUAACAAAGCCUUUAUUGCCUUCCACUAUUACUUUGUUGAUAUUUGCUGUGGACCGGAUGUAAGGUUAUCUGAUCUUUUGAGGGGGACCUUUUUUACCAUGGAGAUUUAUUCGCCCUAAGAUCCCUUUGUCAAAAUUUUGCUCCAUUUUUGUUUUGGACGCAUGUGUUUUAGGAACCGUGAUUGCUU